rnacentral:rRNA from 1 species
ACACGGUCCAAACUCCUACGGGAGGCAGCAGUGAGGAAUAUUGGUCAAUGGGCGAGAGCCUGAACCAGCCAAGUAGCGUGCAGGAUGACGGCCCUAUGGGUUGUAAACUGCUUUUAUAAGGGAAUAAAGUGAGUCUCGUGAGACUUUUUGCAUGUACCUUAUGAAUAAGGACCGGCUAAUUCCGUGCCAGCAGCCGCGGUAAUACGGAAGGUCCGGGCGUUAUCCGGAUUUAUUGGGUUUAAAGGGAGCGUAGGCCGGAGAUUAAGCGUGUUGUGAAAUGUAGAUGCUCAACAUCUGCACUGCAGCGCGAACUGGUUUCCUUGAGUACGCACAAAGUGGGCGGAAUUCGUGGUGUAGCGGUGAAAUGCUUAGAUAUCACGAAGAACUCCGAUUGCGAAGGCAGCUCACUGGAGCGCAACUGACGCUGAAGCUCGAAAGUGCGGGUAUCGAACAGGAUUAGAUACCCUGGUAGUCCGCACGGUAAACGAUGGAUGCCCGCUGUUGGUCUGAAUAGGUCAGCGGCCAAGCGAAAGCAUUAAGCAUCCCACCUGGGGAGUACGCCGGCAACGGUGCAACUCAAAUGAAUUGACGGA